AUUGCUUACCUCGUACGCUGGAAAUGGCAUCCAUCCACAUAAAAACCAGAAUGAAAUUCAAUAGACGAAACAUGUUGAAUAACGUUAUGAAAGCGAUAGUAAUGCUGUUAUGAUGCGCGACGACUCACGACCGCAUUGAUUCACAAAAGACUUAGAAGUAUAAUGGUGCUUCUCAUUCGACACCUUAAGUGUCCAACAAGUUAAGUUUCCGGAUAUUGGGCCGCGUCACGCCUAUAUAAUUUACUUGCGUGAAACUCGCUC